CAGCCCCGCGGGAAUACGGAGGGUGCAAGCGUUAAUCGGAAUUACUGGGCGUAAAGCGCACGCAGGCGGUCUGACAAGUCAGAUGUGAAAUCCCCGGGCUUAACCUGGGAACUGCAUUUGAAACUGUCAGGCUGGAGUCUUGUAGAGGGGGGUGGAAUUCCAGGUGUAGCGGUGAAAUGCGUAGAGAUCUGGAGGAAUACCGGUGGCGAAGGCGGCCCCCUGGACAAAGACUGACGCUCAGGUGCGAAAGCGUGGGGAGCAAACAGGAUUAGAUACCCCAGUAGUCCCUGUCUCUUAUACA
rnacentral:rRNA from 1 species